CAGGGUAUAGAUGCUGGGGUAGGGGCAGGAGCCAGCGCCCCCACCGGAAUCGGAAGCUGUGGGUGCACACGAGAGAUGGCGUUGUGGCCGCUUCGCCUUCGUUUGCCUCCUGCCAUGCACUGCAGGCCCGGAGAAUGUGGCCCCAGACUAAAAUGAGGAGAAGAUGGCCCUGCCGAGGGUUGUCUCAACUGUUGGGGUGAUCAGACCCAACACCAGGCCACGGGGGCUACUAAGUCUGGCGGAGUCAAAGGAAUGAGAAAAGACAAGUUAAGAGAGAAAGUGGGACCAUGAGGCCAAUGUCAGUGUGGAGGCUGCGAAGACCCUAAGCUCUGGGAGCCCACGCUAUUUAUUGAUGAUCAAACAAAGAAACAGCUGGUUGCAGUGUUUGAUGAGCAAGAUCUACAUCAUGGAGGUGAUGACACCAGUGCCAGCUCCAUGCAUACCCAGAGCCCAGAGAGAUUUACUAGUGCUAGUGAGCUUGGCACCAACAAUGUCUCAGCCUUUCAGUCUGAUCAAGCAGCAAGUGAAAUUGAGGUUACAUCUUCAGUACAUGCAAAUAAGUGAAAGCUCUUUCUUCUCUGCAUACUUCAUCUUUUUUUUUUUUUUUUUUUGAGACUGAGUCUUGCUCUAUUGCCCAGACUGGAGUGUAGUGGCGCGACCUCGGCUCACUGCCACCUCUGCCUCCUAGGUUCAAGCAAUUCUCCCUGCUACAGCCUCCUGAGUUGCUGGGCAGCUGCCGCCAUGCCCAGCUAUUUUUUGGGUAUUUUUAGUAGAGACAGGGUUUCGCCGUGUUGGGCAGGCUGGUCUCAAACUCCUGACCUCAGAUGAUCUGCCCGCCUCGGCCUCCCAAGGUGUUGAGAUUACAGGUGUGAGCCACCACACCUGGCCACUUCAUCUUCAUUUGAAGGAUACUAAGUUUUGUCAUCCAUUCUUGCUUCUGUAAAUGCAAGGAAUUCAUUUCUUGAACAGAUAAUAGAAUUCAUUAUCUGUUUAUAUCCAGAAUUCAGUUUAGAACCUUGGCAAAUGUCUUGCAAGAGAAGUAGGCACAUUAAAAUCACAUUUUAAUGAAUUAAACUUACUUUAGUCAACUUUUCAUGGCAGGGCAGGGUCCAUCAAGGCAGGCGGAUAGAGAAAUAUUUAAACAAUGGUAUGGCCCAAGUCCCAACCAGUUUUAGUAUAUGUGCUGCUGAAGUGGGCACCCAAGUCCCAACCAAUCUGAAUGAACCGUUCUACCAUACCUAGCCAAUAUUAAUAUUAUUCAUAAUAAAAUCUUAAUAAAUGAAAGUUCAGUAAAUAAAAAAUGAAUAUAAAAUACCUAAACAUAAAUGUGUCUUAAAACACUAGUUGAGGGUUCUAAACAUACCAAGAGUAACUGUUUCAAGUUGCUUUAAAGCAUUGCAAUUUGUACAACCAAAAGGAAAUACAUCCUAAGGGAAAAAAUGAAUUGCCAAACAAGGACCCUAAAACUGUUUGUUGUUGGCAUUGUUCAUCUUCAAUUUGUAGAUCAGUAUUAUAGGAUGAAGGAGAUGAAGAGGAAUAAUACUUUAAUUCUUCCAUUCCUGGUGUCAUUGAGGACCUAGGAUUCUUAGUAUAGGAGAAAGGGGAUACAGAUACAAGUUACAAAGUAAUAAACAACUACUUUAUAGUCUUUAAUUUGGAUAGGACAAGUCAUUUUUUUUCUUUACAACCUACACUUUAUUGAUUUUAUAGCAGGAAAUUAGAAUGGAGAAGAUUAAAAACUUAAAGACAUUGAACUGUCCCAGAAUGAUAACUUUAGAACUUGAAUGAAUUCUGAAAUCUGAAAAUUUAAUGAAUUUAAGUUAUAUUGUGGAAAUUUCAAAUUGCUUUAGAACCGGAUUUAGUCCAUGUCUUUCAAUAUAUCAGUGUGUUGUGGUUUCACAGACCUACAACAAUACACAGAAAUAUUUGAUACUUACAGGUUGCUAUUUAUAGAUUUUCUUCUUGUUAUUUGGUUUGAAAGUACAUAUGUUAUUGCACUUUCAUGCAACUAAUAUGAUGGUUAUUGGUCAUGAGUAAUAAUUUCUUGAGCUCAUGAUUGAUGCAAAGCAUUGUGCUAGGAGUUAUGGUGGAUACACAGAGGUUUAGAACUAUGAUCCUGGCUUUAAGGAGCUUGCUAUCCAGUUAGGUAGGACUGAUGGGAGUUCCCCCCUUCACCCUUUGCACAUUUUGCACUGAGAAUUAACUGAUCACCUAAAGUAUAUUGCAAAAACCUCUAUACAUUUUCUGUGUACUAACUCAUGUAAUCAUCAAAAUAAAUAGUCUGAAAAGGAAACUGAAACUCAGAGGCAUAAUUUAACUUGAUUCGUGUCAUGAUAUGUUUUAACUCUCAAAAAAAAGAGAACCCAGAAGGAAGGAGAACUCCUGUAUGUAUUCACAGAAAAAGGCACGAAUCAAGGACCAACUUAGUAAGGCAGCAUUUCUCAUAUCCAGGCUAUAUUCUGGAAAUAACAAUUUUUUAUAAAAAGAGAUCAGAGUUCCUUGGAGAAAUGCCUGAAUUUAGAUCUGGACAGAAGAUGUAUGAGAUGAUUCUGGAUCACCCUGACAUAUCAUAAAAUAAGGAUGCUAUGAAACAUAACUAGGGUAUAUCAGAGGGCCUAGGAGAUGACACGAUGCUCCUACUGUCCAAAAACAGGACAAUUGGAGCUUCAAUUAGUAUAGUAACAGCAAUAAAUGCAUGGAUUUGUAAUUAUAAUAAAUAAGUUUACGAGCAAGAAAAAGGCUGCCAGUGAUCCAAUUUAUUAUUUGGAAAGCUGAUAAGGGAAUAAUUCAUCUACUCUGCAUUUCCUAUGUGGGUGGUGUCACUGGAUAACUAACAGAUCAAGGGGAAGUUACUUUUUAUGUAAGUAUUUCAGCUAAUAAAUGAAGGUGUAAUGAUAGCAUUAGAAUAUUACUAUUUUGCAACUCCUGGUGAAAUAAUAGAUCUAGGGAUUGAUCAUUGUAUGAAAGGACAAUAAAAAUUGGGGACCCAAUUUACUAUGCCAAAAGAAAAAAAGUUAACCUGAAAGCUGAGUCAUGCAAGAAGCCGCCUUUCCUUGGCUUUGUAAGCAGUUACAGAUAAAAGUCUAAACAUUUCCACAGGUAGCUACCCUGUUCAUCUUAUCUAAUCAAGCGCUGAUUUAUUGAGCAUAAGAUCAGUACAUAAUUGACUAUUUCCCUACCUGCUCCUUUUCUCUUGCAACAUGAGGAUCACCACACACUUCGUGUUUCCUCUCUAGGUCACUUUUCCUUUUUAAAUAUUGAAGCCCUCAAAAUCAUCUUUGGAGAAAAUCACAGACCACAGACUGUGUCUGUGAUUCUGUGUUUAUUUCUUCUGGGCAUGUUCUUAACCUUGGCAAAAUAAACUCCUACAUUGAUUGA